AUUGAACGCUAGCGGGAUGCUUUACACAUGCAAGUCGAACGAGUGGCGGACGGGUGAGUAAUAUAUCGGAACGUGCCCGGUAGAGGGGGAUAACUACUCGAAAGAGUGGCUAAUACCGCAUACUAUCGGAUAGGCCGAGAUGGGAUUAGCUAGUUGGUGGGGUAAAGGCUCACCAAGGCAACGAUCCGUAGCUGGUUUGAGAGGACGACCAGCCACACUGGGACUGAGACACGGCCCAGACUCCUACGGGAGGCAGCAGUGGGGAAUAUUGGACAAUGGGGGAAACCCUGAUGCAGCCAUGCCGCGUGUAUGAGAAGGCCUUCGGGUUGUAAAGUACUUUCGGCGGGGAAGCGGUAUCCGCAGAAUAAGCACCGGCUAACUACGUGCCAGCCGCCGCGGUAAUAC
rnacentral:rRNA from 1 species